rnacentral:rRNA from 1 species
UACAGAGGGGGCAAGCGUUGUUCGGAAUUACUGGGCGUAAAGGGCGCGUAGGCGGCCUGUUAAGUCGAACGUGAAAUCCCCGGGCUCAACCCGGGAACUGCGUCCGAUACUGGCAGGCUUGAAUUCGGGAGAGGGAUGCGGAAUUCCAGGUGUAGCGGUGAAAUGCGUAGAUAUCGGGAGGAACACCAAUGGCGAAAGCAGGUAACUGGACUAUUACUGACACUCAGCUGCGAAAGUUAGGGGAGCAAACAGG